CAGCCGCCGCGGUAACACGGAGGGAGCUAGCGUUGUUCGGAAUUACUGGGCGUAAAGCGCACGUAGGCGGCUUUGUAAGUCAGAGGUGAAAGCCUGGAGCCCAACUCCAGAACUGCCUUUGAGACUGCAUCGCUUGAAUCCAGGAGAGGUGAGUGGAAUUCCGAGUGUAGAGGUGAAAUUCGUAGAUAUUCGGAAGAACACCAGUGGCGAAGGCGGCUCACUGGACUGGUAUUGACGCUGAGGUGCGAAAGCGUGGGGAGCAAACAGGAUUAGAUACCCCUGUAGUCCCUGUCUCUUAUAA
rnacentral:rRNA from 1 species